GACGAACGCUGGCGGCGUGCUUAACACAUGCAAGUCGAACGGAAAGGCCCUGCUCUUGUGGGGUGCUCGAGUGGCGAACGGGUGAGUAAAACGUGAGUAACCUGCCCUUGACUUUGGGAUAACUUCAGGAAAAUGGGGCUAAUAUCGGAUAGGAGCUCCUGCUGCAUGGUGGGGGUUGGAAAGUUUCGGCGGUUGGGGAUGGACUCGCGGCUUCUCCGCUUGUUGGUGGGGUAGUGGCUUACAAAGGCUUUGACGGGUAGCCGGCCUGGGAGGUUGACCGGCCACAUUGGGACUGAGAUACGGCCCAGACUCCUACGGGAGGCAGCAGUGGGGAAUAUUGCACAACGGGCGGAAGUCUGAUGCAGCAACGUCGCGUGCGGGAUGACGGCCUUCGGGUUGUAAACCGCUUUCGCCUGUGACGAAGCGUGAGUGACGGUAAUGGGUAAAGAAGCACCGGCUAACUACGUG
rnacentral:rRNA from 1 species